UCUCCCUCCCUAACGCCAUUUUCUUCUCCCAUUCUCUCCCAAAUUUUUGUUCUAUAUUCCUCCAUAAGUUCUUCAUCCUUUGAGAAGAAUUUAAGUUGAAGCCUCAAGUAUUGUUGAAGAAUCAAGAUCAUACUUUCUACCGAUCGUUUCUAUCAAAAAGAGGGAAAAGGGAACCGUCGGGGGACAUGCAUAAUAUUAAGUCAAUGUUUGUGACUAAUUGGUAAUACAUAUCAUCUAAAGGUGAUAACGCGUGAGCGAAGUGUGAUAACAAAGGGAAAGCAGUACUUGAAAUCUAAACGGUCGAGGUUGAGCGGCGGCGAGAGGUUGGUGGUGUUGAGC